AUUGAACGCUGGCGGCAGGCUUAACACAUGCAAGUCGAGCGGAGAGAGGUAGCUUGCUACUGAUCUUAGCGGCGGACGGGUGAGUAAUGCUUAGGAAUCUGCCUAUUAGUGGGGGACAACAUUUCGAAAGGAACGCUAAUACCGCAUACGUCCUACGGGAGAAAGCAGGGGAUCUUCGGACCUUGCGCUAAGAGAUGAGCCUAAGUCGGAUUAGCUAGUUGGUGGGGUAAAGGCCUACCAAGGCGACGAUCUGUAGCGGGUCUGAGAGGAUGAUCCGCCACACUGGGACUGAGACACGGCCCAGACUCCUACGGGAGGCAGCAGUGGGGAAUAUUGGACAAUGGGCGGAAGCCUGAUCCAGCCAUGCCGCGUGUGUGAAGAAGGCCUUAUGGUUGUAAAGCACUUUAAGCGAGGAGGAGGCUACUUUAGUUAAUACCUAGAGAUAGUGGACGUUACUCGCAGAAUAAGCACCGGCUAACUCUGUGCCAGCCGCCGCAGUAAUAC
rnacentral:rRNA from 1 species